UGCACUCACCCCAAUGUCCCUUGUAUCUC
rnacentral:sRNA from 1 species